rnacentral:rRNA from 1 species
GACGAAGGAUGCAAGCGUUAUCCGGAUUCAUUGGGUUUAAAGGGAGCGUAGGUGGCCUUAUAAGUCAGUGGUGAAAUCUCUGGGCUUAACCCAGAAAUUGCCAUUGAUACUGUAGGGCUUGAGUACAGUUGCUGUGGGCGGAAUAUGACAUGUAGUGGUGAAAUACAUAGAGAUGUCAUAGAACACCGAUUGCGAAGGCAGCUCACAAAACUGUAACUGACACUGAGGCUCGAAAGUGCGGGGAUCAAACAGG